AUUGAACGCUGGCGGCAGGCUUAACACAUGCAAGUCGAGCGGAGAGAGGUAGCUUGCUACUGAUCUUAGCGGCGGACGGGUGAGUAAUGCUUAGGAAUCUGCCUAUUAGUGGGGGACAACAUUUCGAAAGGAAUGCUAAUACCGCAUACGUCCUACGGGAGAAAGCGGGGGAUCUUCGGACCUUGCGCUAAUAGAUGAGCCUACGUCGGAUUAGCUAGUUGGUGGGGUAAAGGCCUACCAAGGCGACGAUCUGUAGCGGGUCUGAGAGGAUGAUCCGCCACACUGGGACUGAGACGCGGCCCAGACUCCUACGGGAGGCAGCAGUGGGGAAUAUUGGACAAUGGGCGCAAGCCUGAUCCAGCCAUGCCGCGUGUGUGAAGAAGGCCUUAUGGUUGUAAAGCACUUUAAGCGAGGAGGAGGCUACUCUAGUUAAUACCUAGAGAUAGUGGACGUUACUCGCAGAAUAAGCACCGGCUAACUCUGUGCCAGCCGCCGCGGUAAAAC
rnacentral:rRNA from 1 species